GGUGACCGGCCACACUGGGACUGAGAUACGGCCCAGACUCCUACGGGAGGCAGCAGUGGGGAAUAUUGCACAAUGGGCGCAAGCCUGAUGCAGCGACGCCGCGUGAGGGAUGACGGCCUUCGGGUUGUAAACCUCUUUCAGUACCGACGAAGCGCGAGUGACGGUAGGUACAGAAGAAGGACCGGCCAACUACGUGCCAGCAGCCGCGGUAAUACGUAGGGUCCGAGCGUUGUCCGGAAUUACUGGGCGUAAAGAGCUCGUAGGUGGCUUGUCGCGUUGUUCGUGAAAACUCACAGCUCAACUGUGGGCGUGCGGGCGAUACGGGCAGACUGGAGUACUGCAGGGGAGACUGGAAUUCCUGGUGUAGCGGUGGAAUGCGCAGAUAUCAGGAGGAACACCGGUGGCGAAGGCGGGUCUCUGGGCAGUAACUGACGCUGAGGAGCGAAAGCGUGGGGAGCGAACAGGAUUAGAUACCCUGGUAGUCCACGCCGUAAACGGUGGGUACUAGGUGUGGGUUUCCUUCCUUGGGAUCCGUGCCGUAGCUAACGCAUUAAGUACCCCGCCUGGGGAGUACGGCCGCAAGGCUAAAACUCAAAGAAAUUGACGGGGGCCCGCACAAGCGGCGGAGCAUGUGGAUUAAUUCGAUGCAACGCGAAGAACCUUACCUGGGUUUGACAUGCACAGGACGUGCCUAGAGAUAGGUAUUCCCUUGUGGCCUGUGUGCAGGUGGUGCAUGGCUGUCGUCAGCUCGUGUCGUGAGAUGUUGGGUUAAGUCCCGCAACGAGCGCAACCCUUAUCUUAUGUUGCCAGCGCGUAAUGGCGGGGACUCGUGAGAG
rnacentral:rRNA from 1 species